rnacentral:rRNA from 1 species
CCUACGGGUGGCAGCAGUGGGGAAUAUUGCACAAUGGGGGGAACCCUGAUGCAGCGACGCCGCGUGAGUGAAGAAGUUAUUCGGUAUGUAAAGCUCUAUCAGCAGGGAAGAAAAGGACGGUACCUGAGUACGAAUCCCCGGCUCACUACUGUCCAGGCGCCGCAGUCAUACGUAGGGGGCAGGCGUGAUCCGGAUUUACUGGGUGUAAAGGGAGCGUAGACGGCAGUGCCAGUCCGGAGGUAAAGGCGGGGGCUCGAACCCCGGACUGCUCUGGAAACUGUACGGCUGGAGUGCAGGAGAGGUAAGUGGAAUGCCGAGUGUAGCGGUGAAAUGCGUAGAUAUUAGGAGGAACCCCAGUGGCGAAGGCGGCGUACUGGACGGUAACUGACGUUGAGGCUCGAAAGCGUGGGGAGCAAACAGGAUUAGAUACCCGUGUAGUC